AACGCACAUUGCGCCCCUUGGUAUUCCGAGGGGCAUGCCUGUUCGAGCGUCAUUAUAACCACUCAAGCCUAGCUUGGUAUUGGGGUUCGCGUGCUCGCGGCCCUUAAAAUCAGUGGCGGUGCCGUCUGGCUCUAAGCGUAGUAAUUCUCUCGCUAUAGAGUCCCGGCGGUUACCUGCCAGAACCCCCCACUUUUAAGGUUGACCUCGGAUCAGGUAGGGAUACCCGCUGAACUUAA
rnacentral:misc_RNA from 2 species